UACGGAGGGUGCAAGCGUUAUCCGGAUUUAUUGGGUUUAAAGGGUCCGUAGGCGGAUCAGUAAGUCAGUGGUGAAAUCCUGCAGCUCAACUGUAGAACUGCCAUUGAUACUGCUGAUCUUGAAUAUGGUUGAAGUGGGCGGAAUAUGACAUGUAGCGGUGAAAUGCUUAGAUAUGUCAUAGAACACCGAUAGCGAAGGCAGCUCACUAAGCCACAAUUGACGCUGAUGGACGAAAGCGUGGGUAGCGAACAGG
rnacentral:rRNA from 1 species